UUCCGUCGUUUUUUCCAAUGCAUAUUAUCCAUUUCUAAUGUAAUAUAAGAGAGAAGGUCUGAUGGUGUGGUGCAUAAAAGGAGAUCUCCCGUUUAUGGAGCAUGUAUAAAGAGGGAAGAGAGAGAGGGCUGUAGAGAGAGAAAGAGUGCUUACAUGACGAGGGGAAAGCAGAAGAUUGAAGCUCAGAGGAAGAAUGCUGAGAGGAACUCCAAGGCCAAGGGCUCCCAGCUUGAGGCAAGAGCUGUUGCCCUUAAAUCCAGCUGCCCCAUCUGCAAGGUACAACUUGCAAAUCAGAAUCAGCUGGUGGACCAUUAUGCCUCAAAACAUCCUAAAGAGAAGCCUCCAAGCGAUUCAGGGUAAAUAAAUUAGAGGCUCGUUUACUCUUAUAAACAAAUGCAAUUGUGUGUGAUUGAUAAUAGAAGAAAUAAAUGCAUGGUGUACUGGAGCUGGUUUUCUUUUUAGAAGUCCUAAAUACUUGUAGUCACUGCUCCCUUUAUGUUCCGUUGUUCAUUAUCCCGAGUGAAUUAGUUUUCUUGAAAAGAAGUGUUUGAAACAAGAAAAAUUCAUCGUGA